GGACUACUAGGGUUUCUAAUCCUGUUUGCUCCCCACGCUUUCGCACCUCAGCGUCAGUAUCGAGCCAGUGAGCCGCCUUCGCCACUGGUGUUCCACCGAAUAUCUACGAAUUUCACCUCUACACUCGGUAUUCCACUCACCUCUCUCGAACUCCAGACCAAUAGUUUUGAAGGCAGUUCCGGGGUUGAGCCCCGGGAUUUCACCCCCAACUUUCUGGUCCGCCUACGUGCGCUUUACGCCCAGUAAUUCCGAACAACGCUAGCCCCCUCCGUAUUACCGCGGCUGCUGGCAC
rnacentral:misc_RNA from 1 species